rnacentral:rRNA from 1 species
UACGUAGGGGGCUAGCGUUGUCCGGAAUCAUUGGGCGUAAAGCGUGCGCAGGCGGCUUUGCAAGACAGAUGUGAAAUCCCCGGGCUCAACCUGGGAACUGCAUUUGUGACUGCAUGGCUGGAGUGCGGCAGAGGGGGAUGGAAUUCCGCGUGUAGCAGUGAAAUGCGUAGAUAUGCGGAGGAACACCGAUGGCGAAGGCAAUCCCCUGGGCCUGCACUGACGCUCAUGCACGAAAGCGUGGGGAGCAAACAGG